GACGAACGCUGGCGGCGUGCUUAACACAUGCAAGUCGAACGGGAUCCGGGCUUUCGGGUUUGGUGAGAGUGGCGAACGGGUGAGUAACACGUGAGUAACCUGCCCCUUCUUUGGGAUAACGUCGGGAAAUCGGCGCUAAUACUGGAUAUUCUUGCUGCAUCGCAUGGUGUGGUUUGGAAAGGGUUUCUGGUGGGGGAUGGGCUCGCGGCCUAUCAGCUUGUUGGUGGGGUGAUGGCCUACCAAGGCUUUGACGGGUAGCCGGCCUGAGAGGGUGUCCGGCCACACUGGGACUGAGACACGGCCCAGACUCCUACGGGAGGCAGCAGUGGGGAAUAUUGCACAAUGGGCGCAAGCCUGAUGCAGCGACGCCGCGUGAGGGAUGACGGCCUUCGGGUUGUAAACCUCUUUCAGUAUGGAACAAGGAUCCUUCUUUUGGGGGGUUUGAGGGUACGUGCAGAAGAAGCGCCGGCUAACUACGUG
rnacentral:rRNA from 1 species